UGAUCAGGUGGGAUAAUCCUUACCUAUUCCUCUUUCCAGGGGCAAAACAACAUGCUUGAAGUUUGCAUCAGUUGAGAUUAGCAUCUUUGUAAUCCCAUCUGCUUGCUCCUUUCUGAU